rnacentral:rRNA from 1 species
UACGGGGGGGGGCAAGCGUUGUUCGGAAUUACUGGGCGUAAAGGGCUCGUAGGCGGCCAACUAAGUCAGACGUGAAAUCCCUCGGCUUAACCGGGGAACUGCAUCUGAUACUGGAUGGCUUGAGUUCGGGAGAGGGAUGCGGAAUUCCAGGUGUAGCGGUGAAAUGCGUAGAUAUCUGGAGGAACACCGGUGGCGAAGGCGGCCCGCUGGGCAGGAAGGCCCCCUCACGGGGGCCGGCUGACGCUGAGGCGCGACAGCGUGGGGAGCAAACAGG